rnacentral:rRNA from 2 species
UACAACUCUGAGCGGUGGAUCACUCGGCUCGUGUGUCGAUGAAGAGCGCAGCCAACUGUGUGAAUUAAUGUGAACUGCAUACUGCUUUGAACAUCGACAUCUUGAACGCACAUUGCGGCCAUGGGUUAGCCCAUGGCCACGCCUGUCCGAGGGUCGGCUU